UGUCACAAACGACAGUGAAACCUUUUUUAUGUAUUUUUCUCUUAGGACCGUAACUGGUUUGUCAAACCAGUGCCGAUACCUGGUUUCGGUUUGCGCACGAUCAGCACGUGCAAGUUGGUUAAAAGCGAGAGUUUCUGUCCGUCAUUUUAAAACAGGGAUAGCCGUGAGUCAGUCGGCCAGGCAGCAUCACGCUGAAGUCAACAUUGAAAUGUUGCUCCUUUUCACACACAAACCCACAGUGAAUCACCAAAGUCUUUUUACCCUAUUCCACAUCCUAUUCACCACAAGACAAGUGGACACAAGUCCAUAAUGUAUAUAUGUAUGGUAGCAAUGUAUACAACGAAUAAAGGUGAUGAAUUUAA